rnacentral:rRNA from 1 species
ACUGAUGGCGACCGGCGCACGGGUGAGUAACACGUAUCCAACCUGCCCUUUACUCGGGGAUAGCCUUUCGAAAGAAAGAUUAAUACCCGAUGGCAUAAUGAUUCCGCAUGGUUUCAUUAUUAAAGGAUUCCGGUAAAGGAUGGGGAUGCGUUCCAUUAGGUUGUUGGUGAGGUAACGGCCCACCAAGCCUUCGAUGGAUAGGGGUUCUGAGAGGAAGGUCCCCCACAUUGGAACUGAGACACGGUCCAA